rnacentral:lncRNA from 1 species
GCUGACAUUCCUCCCAGCAACAGAGUCUACCCUUAUUUUCCCUUAAAUCUGGAUUCUUAAUAACCUAGAGUAUGAUGGAAGUUGUGUUAAGGUGACCUUGAAGGUCAAGUCCUAAAAAUGUCAGCUUCAACUUCAUUCCACCAGAGCCCUGAAAGGCCCACCAAGGCACGGUGUUCUGAGGCUUCUGAGCUUAGAUGCUAUGGAAAGGCUGAGGCACUAACAAGGUUAAGAGCACCUUUCCAGCCCAGAAAAGUGAAAAGCUUAAGACCUUCAUAAGACCCACAGCCAGAAGAAUCCAGCAGAUACUCCUGAAUUUCAAACCCAAAGGAAGUUUGAGAUAUUAUACCAUUAAAUGUGAGCACUGUUCUACAACAAUAACUAACACACUGUUAAUACUGUAAAGUACCAUAGCCACCACGUGGUUGGGCUAAUAAGACCCCUUACUCUACCUUUUAAUACUUUGGUCCAAUUUUGCACCUGCAAUUCUUCCUUUUCUCUCUGUUGCAUCGAUGAGAUAAGGUCAUGAUAUAAAGUUAACAUGCAACUAGAUGUAUCUGGCUUCUAAAUUUAGUUCACUAACCUUAGGAUAUGGAAGAACAUUUCUUUUUCUCACUUGAAAACUUAGAAAUUUCUUAUCUGAAGUCACCAUCUGUAUUAGAGCUUGUUUAAAACUACCCAGAUACUACUAUACCUAACAACCUCAAGGUAAAAUGCAUUCACCUAGUUCGGUUUUCAAGCAGCAACUUUUUUUGAAAACCAAAACCAAAAUUAAAUUUCCUGUAAUUUAUAAACUCAGAUUUGUGUGAAGAGAAUUAGGUUAUCAAAUAUCAAUUGUUUUGGUCCUUUACUAUCAUUCUGGGAAUUAGCCUAAUUUGGAUUACCUUCUUUUACUAAAAAAGGAUCAACAAAUAUAUUAGCAUUAAAAAUAGUACAGGUUGGGGCUGGGUCUGUGACUCAGUGGUAGAGCACUUGCCUAACAUGUGAGGUACUAGGUUCAAUUCUUAAUACCACAUAUAAAUAAAGAAAGAAAAAAAAUAAAGGUCCAUUAACAUCUACAAAAAAAA